rnacentral:rRNA from 1 species
AACGAACGCUGGCGGCGUGGAUAAGACAUGCAAGUCGAACGGGAGUUUGUUUAUAGCAAUAUGAGUGAACUCUAGUGGCGAAAGGGUGCGUAACACGUGGCUACCUACCUCGAAGUUGGGGAUAGCUCGGCGAAAGCCGGAUUAAUACCGAAUGUGAUCGUGAGAUCAAAGCUGGGGAUCGUAAGACCUGGCGCUUUGAGAUGGGGCUGCGGCCUAUCAGGUAGUUGGCGGGGUAAUGGCCCACCAAGCCUAAGACGGGUAGCUGGUCUGAGAGGACGACCAGCCACACUGGAACUGAGACACGGUCCAGACACCUACGGGUGGCAGCAGUCGAGGAUUUUCUCAAUGGGGGAAACCCUGAAGGAGCGACGCCGCGUGAGGGAUGAAGGUCUUUGGAUUGUAAACCUCUGUCAUUUGGGAACAAAGUGCUCCACCUAACACGUGGAUUAUUGAUAGUACCGGAAGAGGAAGCAGUGGCUAACUCUGUGCCAGCAGCCGCA